rfam:Schistosoma mattheei strain Denwood, Zambia genome assembly, scaffold: SMTD_scaffold0025809
GCACUGCUGAGGAGUCCCAUACUAAGACGAAACGGCAGUCCAGUGC